CGUGUCCUAACACGCUAAAUACAGGGAGAGACAUAGAGGGGGAGGGGGAGACAGAGAGAGACAGAUGUCUCACGUGUCCUAACACUAAAUACAGGGAGAGACACAGAGGGGGAGGGAGAGACAGAGAGAGACAGAUGUCCCCUGUGUCCUACACACUAAAUACAGGGCGAGACAGAGAGGGAGAGAGAGACAGAUGUCCCACAUGUCCUAACACGCUAAAUACAGGGAGAGACACAGAGGGGUAGGAGAGACAGAGAGAAACAGAUGUCCCCUGUGUCCUACACACUAAAUACAGGGAGAGACACAGAGGGGGAGGAGAGACUGAGAGAGACAGAUGUCUCACGUGUCCUAACACGCUAAAUACUGAUUCAUAGGAAGAAAGUCCUUCAGCAGGGACGUGUGCAGAGACACUUUGCAGGACAGGGGGUCAAGUUUAAAAAAAAAAAAAAAAAAAAAAAAAAGGGGCAAUAAUUAAUAAGUAACUUUAUUUAUAAA